UACAGAGGUCUCAAGCGUUGUUCGGAUUCAUUGGGCGUAAAGGGUGCGUAGGCGGCGCGGUAAGUCGUGCGUGAAAUCUUGGAGCUUAACUUCGAAACUGCAUUCGAUACUGCCGUGCUUGAGUACUGGAGAGGAGACUGGAAUUUACGGUGUAGCGGUGAAAUGCGUAGAUAUCGUAAGGAAGACCAGUGGCGAAGGCGGGUCUCUGGACAGUUCCUGACGCUGAGGCACGAAGGCCAGGGGAGCAAACGGG
rnacentral:rRNA from 1 species